UACGGAGGGUGCAAGCGUUGUUCGGAUUUAUUGGGCGUAAAGCGCGUGUAGGCGGUUUCUUAAGUCUGAUGUGAAAGCCCUGGGCUCAACCCAGGAAGUGCAUUGGAUACUGGGAAACUUGAAUACGGGAGAGGGUAGUGGAAUUCCUAGUGUAGGAGUGAAAUCCGUAGGUAUUAGGAGGAACACCGGUGGCGAAGGCGGCUACCUGGACCGAUAUUGACGCUGAGACGCGAAAGCGUGGGGAGCAAACAGG
rnacentral:rRNA from 1 species